AAGAAUAACAAAGAACAGCCACUGUUGGAGUUAUCACAAGAUUUGAUUUGGGAGCUUCUGCCGAGAUUUCAGAGAAUGCAUGGAAACACUUGGACAUCCAGGAAGAAGUUUGCUGCAGGGGCAGAACCCUCAUGGAGAACCUCUACUAGGGCAGUGCUGAGGGGAAAUGUGGGAUUGGAUGCCCCACACAGAAUCCCAACUGGGUUAGUGCCUAGUGACACUGUGAGAAGGGGGCCACCGUCCUCCAGACCCCAGAGUGGUAGAUCCACCAACAGCUUGCCAAAAGCCACAGGCACUCAACGUCAGUCCUUGAGAACAGCCAUGGGAACUGAGACCAGCAGAGCCACAGGGACAGGGCUGCCCACUCCUUCUGUAAGUGUGGUCUGAAUGUAAGACAUGGAGUCCAAAGAGAGGAUGUUGGAGCCUUAAGAUUCAAUUACUGACUUCCUGGGUUUUAGACUUGCACGGGGCCUGUAUCCCCUUUAUUUGACCAAUUUUUUCCUUUUGGAAUGGGAGCAUUUAGCCAAUACCUGUACCCCCAUUGUAUCUUGCAGGUAACUAACUAAUUUUUGAUCUCACAGGCUCAUAAGUAGAAGGGACUUGCCUGGUCUUAGAUGAGACUUUGGACUUGAUCUUUUGAGUUAAUGCUGAAAUGAGUUAAGACUUUGGAGGACUGUUGGGAAGGCAUGAUUGUGCUUUGAAAUGUGAGAAGGAGAUGUAAUUUGGAAGGGACCAGGGGUAGAAUGAUAUGGUUUGUCUCUGUGUCCUCAUCUAAAUCUUAUGUUGAAUUGUAAUUCCCAGUGUUGGAGGAGAGGCCUGGUGAGAGGUGAUUGAAUCAUGGGGGCAGACUUCCUUUUUGUUGUUCUCUUGAUAGAGUUCUCAGGAGAUUUGGUUGUUUGAAAGUGUGUAGCAUCUCCCCGUUCACUCCCUCCCUCUCCUACUCCAGGCAUGUAGGGCAGGCUGGCUUCCUCUUUGCUGUCUGCCAUGAUUCUAAGUUUCCUGAGGCCUCCCCAGCCAUGCUUCCUGUACAGUCUGCAGAACGGUGAGCCAAUUAAACCUCUUUUAUUGAUAAACCACCCAGUCUCAGGUAAUUCUUUAUGGCAAUGUGAGAAUAGACUAAUUGUAUAAUGUAUUAUGGAAUAGACUAAUACAGGAGUGAUUCAUUUUAUAAUGUAUUGUUUAUGUGGAAACAUGAAGCAAAUGAUUGAGAAAGAAAAUAUUUUAUAAUUAAGAUAACUUCAUUGUAUAAUAGAACUUGGGUCUGUAAUCUGACGGAUGUGAUUUUAUCCCAACCCUUUAUCUUAUAUGCCGUGAAACUGUUAACAGAUAACUUUUCCUUUAUCAAACUAUAGUAUCAUGUAAAUUUGGAAGAAUAAUAUCUUUUGUGGAAAACAUAACAUUCUUGGUAUUUUGCUUUACCUACAUAUAAAACAACCCAAAAUAUUUUUGUUAUUU
rnacentral:lncRNA from 1 species